AAUAAAUUGUUGCUUUGUUGAGUAUAUGUGCAACUGGAGGUGCAAUAUGAGGAAAAGGUAACUCUUUUUUCUUUCAUUUCCAGUCAUUUUUAUCAUGUUUUUCUUUCUCUUAUAUGUUAAAAAUGGCAGGCAUACAUGACAUUUCAAGGCAUGUGCAGAAUAGAAAGGGAAUGGAUGUUCAGGAAUACAAAGGUCCCCGUGAAGUAGAUGGCAUCGUUGACUAUUUGAAGAAACAAAGUGGUCCUGCUUCAACUAAAAUUAAAUUUGCUGAUGAACCUACUUCUUUUGUUGGUGAAAACAAAGUUGUUAUUGUAAGUAAUCGAUUGUUUUGUUUUCGCUUUAUUUCAAGUCACAUUGAUCUGUUUAUAAUAUCUUCUUAUGUUUUCAAGUUGGAGUUUUUCUGUAGAGGAGUUUGACAACUUUUCUGCCUUAGCAGAGAAGUUGCAUUCUGAUUAUGACUUUGGUCACCCUCUAAAUGUCAAACUCCUUCCAAGAGGAGAGUCAUCAGUUUCCGGGCCCAUAGUUAGGCUCUCCAAGCCAUUCACUGGACUUUUUGUUGACUUCCAGGUCUUCCUAUGCAUUUUAGACUUUUCCAGUUUUUGUUUCUUCCCAUCAUAUUCAAUGUCGAGUCUAUCGACGAAGAAGCAUCGAGCAGGCAAGUCUUUUCCCCUUUUGCUGUUAUGCAUGUUUGUUUCAUUACUAUUUGUUUCUAUUUGCAAGGUUUUAAUUUUGUUUGUUGUUAUGCAUGUUUUUUUGUGAAUGUCAAUUUUCCAUCUUGACAAUAUCGGUAUGAUAUAGUAUCAUCCAAUUGGAGAGGACAGAUUAUGACAAAUGCUACUCCUUUUCUCAAUGUUUCGUCACCAGCAAGUUACCCUGUGAAGAAAAAACAUGUGAAGAGAAGAGCUAAACAAGUGGGAAGUCCACUAGCAAAGCAUCAAUUUUGCAUAAAGUUGUGGGAUGUUUUCUUUAAUUUGAGGCUUAGUGGGAUGUUUUAGGUUUAGCUUUCUAUCAAUAUGGAUUAAAGACAACAAUCCAACAUGAAUUUCAAUUUAUUCAAAUAAAAGCAUAUGCUACUGCUGCUAUCAUGUCAA